UGGCUCAGUGGUAGAGCGCUUGCCUUGCAUGCAUGAGGCCCUGAGUUCGAUUCCUUAG
rnacentral:tRNA from 1 species